UUGAUAGCAAGGGCCGGGCAAGACCGGUGCCCUCCGCCGCGGUAACACCGGCGGCUCGAGUGGUAACCGCUAUUAUUGGGUCUAAAGGGUCUGUAGCCGGCCUGGUUAGUCUCUUGGGAAAUCUGGCCGCCCAACGGUCAGGCUUUCAGGGGAUACUGCCGGGCUCGAGACCGGGAGAGGUGAGAGGUACUUCAGGGGUAGGGGUGAAAUCUUGUAAUCCUUGAAGGACCACCAGUGGCGAAGGCGUCUCACCAGAACGGAUCUGACGGCAAGGGACGAAAGCUAGGGGCACGAACCGGAUUAGAUACCCGGGUAGUCCUAGCCGUAAACGAUACUCGCUAGGUGUCGGCCACGGUGCGACCGUGGUCGGUGCCGUAGGGAAGCCGUGAAGCGAGCCAC
rnacentral:rRNA from 1 species